rnacentral:lncRNA from 1 species
CCCAUAGAAAUAAUACAUUUGUGUUGACUGAUUUCGCUUCCCUGAACUCUCACUCUUACAGACCCUGCCUCAUGCAUGCUGACCACUCAGGGCUCAACUACUCCUUCUGGAACCCUGACCCGAGGAGUCACUCCAAGUCUCUGCUGUGAGGUCUUCUCACCAGUUCCAAGUUGGUGUAAGAAGAGGGGAGAAUAAAAGAAUGAAAUGAGUGAGAUUUGGCUGAGUGCUUCCCCACAGUGGAAGGAAAAUUUAAGAAAGUUGCUCCAGUUUGGACCCCGUGGAUGGCUUAUAACUUGGAGAAAGGUGUCUAAGGAAACUUUCAAGGCACUGUGCCAUGCCCUGUGCAGGAGACAGAGGUUCUCAAGAGAGGGGCCUGGCUCUCCUGGACCUUUCACUGAGGCAUGGAAAAUAGGAUGCAUGCCCUAAUCACCAAGGGAGGGAACCCAAGAGGAAGGUAAGAAGCAUGAGGGGGUCUCAGGUGAGGGAAUGAUGGUCUCCUGGGGGACUUGGUGGUUUUACAGAGAAGGUGUCACUUGAGCUCUGUCUUGAAGUAUUUGGAUAUGAGGGGAUAGAGGGAUAGUGUGGUGGUGUGAAAGCACAUUCAGGAAAGGAAACAGAAGGAAAAUAUAAGAAACUAGGACUGGAAUGCCUCAAGGUCAAAUAAUAGCAGACCUUGAAUGCAAGCCAAGAAGCCUGCAUUCUAAUGAGUAAGCAAGAAGCGUUAUGAAGGAAUAACUUCAUAAAAAUCGAAACUUCUUGAACAUGUUUUGAACUCUUUCAAAAGUGAAUUUUCCAUCCUCAGAGGUUUAAGUACCAAUUGGAUGUACUUUUAUCCAGUUUAUGAUUAUCCUCUUCUGAUUUAUAGAGAUUCAUAAAGGAGAUUCAUGCAUAGACCAGGUAACUGUUGUGGUUACUGUUGAUUGAGAUUACAGACUCAGGAUUUUGGAACUAGAAAGUGACCCUAACAUCAUAGGAGGGGAAACUGAAUUUCUUUGUGUAUUUAGUAAGCGCUAAAUGUAUACUUCCACAAUUAAUAAAUGACAUGAAGAGAGUUGUGCUUUGUGUGUA